rnacentral:rRNA from 1 species
AACGAACGCUGGCGGCAGGUCUUAGGCAUGCAAGUCGAACGGGUGAAACAGGUGCUUGCACUUGUGGAUCUAGUGGCGCACGAGUGAGUAACGCGUGGGAAACUGCCCACUACUGGGGAAUAACGUUUGGAAACGAACGCUAAUACCGCAUACGCCGGAAACGGGAAGAUUUAUCGGUGGUGGAUGUGCCCGCGUUGGAUUAGCUUGUUGGUGGGGUAACGGCCUACCAAGGCGAUGAUCCAUAGCUGGUCUGAGAGGACGAUCAGCCACGCUGGAACUGAGACACGGUCCAGACUCCUACGGGAGGCAGCAGCUAAGAAUAUUGGGCAAUGGAGGAAACUCUGACCCAGCCAUGCCGCGUGAAUGAAGAAGGUUUUCGGAUUGUAAACUGCUUUAGACAGGGAAGAAACAAGACAGUACCUGUAGAAUAAGCUCCGGCUAACUACGUG